rnacentral:tRNA from 1 species
GACUCUGUGGCGCAAUGGACAGCGCGGUUUGACUUCCUAGUUGAUCAUCAUGAAAUAAUCCAAAGGUUGUUGGUUCGAGUUCCCACCAGAGUUG